UUAUUUCCACCCCCAGUGCCACACGGCUCUCAAAUUCCGCGGAACCAGAAUCGAAUCAUGUGCUCCGCUCGGUUCGUCAGCAAUCCCUUCCCCCGAGCAGUAGUUCCGCUGCGUUCAACCCUCCGUCGGGCGUUCAGCUUGUGGUGAUGGUGAAUGGGUGAAUGAUCGGUGGCAGGCCUUUGCAAUAUGAGCAGAUUGCCCACUGGCCAGGAAAAUGCUGGAGUCAAUCGUUUUGGUCACAGUGCCUCCCUCAGUACUGUGCAGUCCAACACUGCGUCCCAAGUUGCGGCUAGGUUAGACCCAUACAAAUCUAGUAAUCGGCUCAUUUCUGAUGUCAGGAGGACUUUCUGUUUAUUUGUUACAUUUGACCUUUUAUUUGUUGGUUUGCUGUGGAUAAUCGAAUUGAAUGUAGAUGGUGGCAUAAUUUGUAGUUUAAACAAUGAGGUCAUUCACUAUGAUUUCCACAGUUCUUACUUUGAUAUUUUUUUGCUGGCAGUGUUCCGAUUCCUUAUGUUAGUUUUUGCGUACGCCCUCUGCAGGUUACAACACUGGUGGGUAAUUGCGAUUACAACAGCCGUUACCAGUGCCUUUCUAAUUGCAAAGGUUAUCAUUUCUAAGCUUUUGGUAAAAGGAUCAGCCUUUGCCUAUUUGCUGCCAAUAAUCUCCUUCAUACUUGCCUGGAUUGAGACCUGGUUCCUGGAUUUUAAAGUUUUGCCACAAGAGGCAAAGGAUGAAAACAGAGUCUUUACUGUAUCUGAUGUAUCAGAACAUGCACCUCUCAUCCUACCUGGCCCCCUCUCAGAUGGCCAGUUUUAUUCUCCGCCGGAAUCUGUUGUGGAUUCUGAAGAAGGAAAUGAUACCGAGUAUCCAGCACAUUAGCAGGUGUGGAAAAUGGUGCAUCAGUUGACUCCUGUUUGUUUUGCUCAACUUCUAGCCCCAGGUGGAUGAAGUUCAGUCUGAAGUAAAUAUUGGAACUCUUUGAAAUAGCAGAGCUUUGAGAUUUGCCUGAGACUUGAAUUAUUCUUGGGUAUGACUGUGUUUAGCCAAUAGCAAGACUUGAUUCACUGUGCUCAAGAACCCUUCAACUGUUGGGAGUUCAUCGCUAUACUGCCUUCUGCCAUCUUGGAAAAGAGUUCUUUAUCCUCCCUUUACUAAACCAAUGCUCUAAUCAUGCAAUCCUGCAAGAUUAUUUUUAAAAAUAUAUAAUUUUGGUUUGGAAUCAAUUACUUCAUGAUUAAUAAUUCUAUUUAAAAUAACAUUCAAGGUUUACUGAAGGGUGUGAUUAGAUUACCUGCCUAAUAUAUUUGGGUCUGUUCAUUUUAAGCAUUAUGUUGCACAAUGAUUCUUGAUUAUUUUUGUUUGGUCUUUCAUUAUUUUAAAUGAAAUUGGCCAAACACAGUUAAUGAUAAAAUGUUCUGAACUGUUUUCAGACUUUGCCUUAUUUGUAAAGGUAAGUAUGAAAGGGAGAACUGCAUGAGUGCACUGCUGCAUGUUUUUGUCACCCAUGUUCCCAGUGUCACUGCAUGUCAUCACUUUCUUCAGAAUUAAGGAAGCUUUCUAAAAAUUAUUUGUAUUUCUUAACAAUAGUAACAUGUCCUGUACGGCAGCUUGUAACAAGACUCAGCGGCAGCACUCUCUGCUGAGCACUCAGUGACCCAGCUCCCUCUGUGAUUAGGGCUGUACAAAAUUCCCAUCUUUGGUCUAGGAUAUUUCAUGCUUUGUAAUAGUUGAAAUGAAAGUUUAAAAAACAGCAUUUUAUUUGCUUGCAGUCAAAUAGACUCUCUGAUAAAGAACAUUGUACCUGGCAAAGCUCCAGCAGUUCCUAGCUCAUCACUAAUUCCUGCAGCUGUGGAAAAUAUUCAGAUUUUGCAAUGAUAUUGUACCAAGAUUGUCUGACCACUACCCCUAGGAAGACACCUGUCUCUUUUAACCUCCCUUGCAUCAGUAAAGCAACAUGUCUUCUGACCCUGCCCUAAGGAAGCUUCCAUGCCCUUUGAACUGCAUAUAGAUGGGCUAGCCAGCUCUCUUCCUCCUCUUGUACAACAUGCCUCCAGCAUUGAGGUCUUUUAUGUUCUUAAUCACUACUCAGUAAUCACUGCCUGGGAAGGAAUCAAAUAUGUGCUUUACUGGGCCAUCAGAUUCUGGCUUCUCAAAACUCUGAGACAGCUGAAAGUUUGAUUAUAAAUGAGAAUAGGUAAGGAUGCAUCUUCUUUUCCCAGGGCAACAGGAGGCAAUGUGAGUUAAUUAGUAGCGUUCCUUUUUAACAGGUGAUUUCUUUGUCCACAGAAUGAGAGCAGUGUUGCAGGAUGGUGGGCAGAGAACAUACUGCAUUUAAAGGGUACUUUUGUUAAUUAUUCUCAGUUUUGCACAGAAUACUAAUGUAAUAACUUUGAUUUGAAGUGAUGAUCAUAAUUUGGCUUUAUUAAUAUAGUUUGAUGUUUUAAGUAAAGCUCUGGUGCAAUUAUGUACACCUGUUCAAAUAAGUUUUGCAAAUCAGUUAUUUAAUGUUAAUCGAUUCAGUGACAUAUUGGAGUACUGCAGUUCAUGCACUGAUACUAAAUUACUUAGUGGCUAUUCCCAAAGCUUUGCAUUUUCAUCAUAUUUCAUAUGUGAUAUCCAAUUUUAAUUGCAAUUGAGAACUGUGUUUUUAUAUUUAAAUCAAAUUAUUGGAAUUUCUAAUUGUUUUAUCUAAAACACCUUCAAGAGCAGGCUCUUUGUUCAAAAUGAUUGAAUAAUUAUCUGUUCAAUUUAUCAGCUGAUGUGUUUUUUCUGUCUGCAACCUUGCACUAUUUGUAUUCUGAUCAUAUUUUAAGGUAAAAUUUGAACUGAAUUAAUAUUCCUAAUGUUUGUUUCUGUGUAUAUCUAACAGUGGAUCAUAGCCCAGUGAUUUUUUUUGUAUCUCUAUCUAUUGAGCUUCUUCCCUGUGAGCAGUCUUUCAAAAAGACAUCUUACUGUGGGAAUAAGAUUGAAUAGUGAUGAAAUGGAAGAAAAGUGGUCCUGCUUCUUAGUGAUGCUAGGUCUAAUUCUACACAAAAAAGAAUUGUGUUUCUUCUGUGCUCAAUGUCAGCAGUUUGACCACUUUAUGAUUAGUUAACAAAUAAUUGUUUGAAUAACAAAUGCAAAGGUGUGCAAAAAAGUUCUGCAUGUAAUAUCUAUCUCCAGUCAUGGCUUGUUUUAUUAAUGUAAUAAAUGCUUUAUCUUUUCAUUAAUAUUUACUUCAGAAAAUGUAAUUAAAAUGGGAAAUAUUUUAGGAAUGUCCACUCAGUGCUUGGCUUAAAGUUUCUGCAACUUACAUCAUAACAUUUUGACUAUAUACUCUAGCUGUGAUUAGUGAUCCAUUCUCUAAUAUGCAAGCUCAGAAAAUUAAUUCUGUUGCCCUUUAACCAACUACCUAUCUUGACCUGUGGAUUUGUUUGUUCAUUACUGCUUGUCUUCACAGUUGUGUAAAUUCUUCAAAGCAUCCAAGUAUUACCACUGAUCAAAAAAUAGAGACUUAGGCUGAGCCAGGUGCUAACUGAACUAACACAAGGUACAAGCCUACUUAAUUUAAUUUGGCUCUUAUAGAUGCAUGUUUCCAAUACAGCAUUGGUAGUAACAAAGAAAAUUUCCCACCUUCACACACAGGCCUCUGUUGUGUUGCACUGUAACUGCUGAAUAGGAUUGUUCAGAAUAGUUCUAGAAGGCAACUUCUAAAGAAUAAUUAUCUAUUCUGGAAUAAUCUGAAUGUCAUACUCUGGCAUAUUCCUUCACCUCUGUCAUAUGACUGCCAAAUGUCAAACCACAGCACAUAAACAAGCCAUUUAGCCCAUUAUGCCCAUAAAUCUAUCAUAUUGUGAUUACUGUGUCCUAAAAUUUCCUUUACCUUAAGCUCUAUAAUUGAAUAUGGUUUAUCAUAGAGUUACAGAGCACUACAACAGAGAAACAGACCUCUGGCCCGUCUAAUCUGUGCCAAACUAGUACUAUGCCUAGUACCAUGGACUUACAUCUGAACCAAAGCCCUCUAUCCCCCCUCCCAUCCAUGUAUUUAUCCAAACCAUCCAGAUGCUGAAACUAAACCUGCAUCCAUCACUUCCACUGGCAGCUGUUUCCACACACACACCACCCUCUGAGUGAAGAAGUUUCUUGUCACGUUCCCCUUAAACAUUUUAUCUUUCAUCCUUAACCCAUGGCCUUUAGUUCUACACUCACCCAAACUCAGUGGAAAAAGACUGCUUGCAUUACCCUGUCUAUAUACCCAAACUUUUAUAUUUCUCUAUCAAAUUUCCCCUCAUUCUCCUAUGCUCCAGGGAAUAAAGUCUUAACCCAUUCAACCUUGCCCUAUAACUCAGGUCAAGUCCUGACAACAACCUUGCAAAUUUUUUCUGCGCUCUUUCAAUGUUAUUGUUAUCUUUCAUGUAGGUAGGUGACCGGAACUGCACACAGUACUCCAAAUGUCUUAUACAACUUCAACAUAACAUCCCAAUAUGCUAAAAGCUCUCUUUACAACCCUAUCUAUUCAAGGAAUUAUGAAUCUCUAUUCCCAGAUCCCUCUGUUUUACCAUGCUUUUCAGUGUAAGUCCUAUCCACUGUUCAUCUUCCCAAAAUACAACACCUUACACUUGUUUGCAACACCCACCCAAUCCAGAAUUGCCCUUAGUGGGCUCAACUGCAAGCUGCUCUAUAAAGCUAUUUCAUAUGUAUUCUACAUAUUUCUUUCUGGAUCAAUCACCAACCUGAUUUUCCCAAUUCACCUGCAUAUUGAAUUGCAUGGUAAUUAUCAUUACUUUGACUAUUGUAACUUAGGUAUGAUCACAGUCUAAAUCCUUGCUGUAUGACUCUGACUCUAAAUGUACUUGCUAUUCAUGGAAGAAGGAUACCAAUUCUGAAGUAAAUGAAUAGAUUAAAGAUGGACGUGACUUGUUUACUCGUGGUAGCUUUGGUAGCUAAGCUAAGAGCUAGAGAUUAAAGUUUAUGAUUAAAUUAAUAUGAUUUCCUGUUUAGUCAGCUAUGGAGACUGUUAAUCAGGUAUCUGUUUUUGUGCAAAGGAAGUGGCGCGCCGUGGUAUGAAAAAGCUAAAAUAACCAUUUGCCAUUCUGCACGAUAAUUGAAACCUCUCAGUUGUACAUGGUAUUUCUGAACACGUGCACAACAUGUAAUAUUUUCUUUUUCAGUAUCUAUCCGACUUCCCUUUCAACGUUAUUAUUGAAUUGUUCCCAUUUGAUUCAAGUACUGCACUCCUCAUCAAAACUCAUUAUUCAAAAGUGAAGCCCUCUUCACUUGCCCUGUUUGCCAAAAAUACAAAAACAUUGAUAGAAAUAUUACGCAAUUUGCUGUUUGAACAUGCUCUAAAAUUCAUAGACCACGACUGACGUGUCUCAAUUUUCUCAUCUAUAUUGUCCAAUUCCCCCCAAUGUCCGAAAAUUCAGCGAAGCCCUGCCUGACUGUACAAAAUAAUUGAACAUUCAUAGCACUCAAGAGGAUUUCAAAACUAAUUAUAGUACUCUGUAAAGAAAAAUCCCUCUUCCGCUAAACCCUAAAGGUCUCAAACCUUUUCUGAGAUUCCAAUUUGGAUAUAACGAAGCUGAGUCCAGCCUAAGGACUCCAUGAUUUCAUCCCUACCCUCCCUUAAAAAAUUCUUGUGUCUCAGUGAGAUCACCUCCAGUGUCUUUUCGUCAGUCAUAACCACUGCUUGUAGAACCUCUGCUUCCUGUGCAAAUUCUAUGCAGAAAGCCUAUAUUGCACUGAAUUCAAACACAUCCUUUCUGAAUAGUGACCCAAGCUAUUUAAAGUAAUAGCUCACCAGUGCUAAAUAUUGCUGGCCAGUGGUGUACAGGCAUUAGAACCGGAAAUCGAGGCAAAUGGUUACGGGUUCGAAUCCAGCAAAACUGAAUGUUGAGCUAGCAACUCGGCCUCAUAAAAAAAGUCAAAAGCGAAGGAAACGGCAACAAAUGUCACACGAUGCGCCCCAAGGCACGAAAAGGAAAAACAACAGGAGCCAAAUAAUCCUAAUUCUUCAGCUUUCACCGACAUUUAUAGCUUUGAGCAUCCUAAUUAUAUCGUCUUUUGAAUGAGAGCAGCAUCUCUAGGUUCUGCAUUUUUUUCUUUGUUAACUUCAUUGGUAGUGUUGCUGUAAUCCUCAGCUACAAUCUUUCUAUGGCCUUGAGAUUGAUCAUAGACUGCAGUGCCCAGACUGGAGACGAUACUCCUAGUGAGAUCAAACCAGGUUUUUUUUGGUAAAAUUUUAACAUAAUAAGACUAUAAGCGAUGGGACCAGAAUUAGGCCAUUCAGCCCAUUGAGUUUGCUUCACUAAAUAAUAUUUUAGCUAACGUGAGAUGCGCAGCUCAGCAACUGGCUAUGCACCAAAACCAGUCCUUACCCCAGUGUUUCUGCUCCACAUGACCCUCCUCUCAGUUCUUCUCAACUAAAUCUAUCAGAGGAACCCAUUAUUCUCUCUCAUAUCUUAUCCCUUCUGAAGCAUUGUGGGUAAAUUCACUUACUGAAUUGAUUCCACAGCCUGUGGACUCAAGGACUCUAAAACUCGUAGAACCUCAGAACAUUACAGCACAGAAACAGGCCCUUCAGCCCUUAGCUGUGCCAAACUAUUUUUCUGCCCAGUCCCACUGACCUGCAGCCGGACCAUAUCCCUCCAUACCCCUCUCAUCCAUGUAUCUGUCCACAUUUUUCUUAAAUGAUAAAAGUGAGCCCGCAUUUACCACUUCAUCUGGCAGCUCAUUCCACACUCCCAUCGCUCUCUGUGUGAAGAAGCCCCCCCCCAAUGUUCCGUUUAAACUUUUCCCCCUUCACCCUUAACCCAUUUCCUCUGGUUUUUUUCUCCCUUACCCUCAGUGGAAAAAGCCUGCUUGCAUUCACUCUAUCUAUACCCAUCAUAAUUUAUUAUACCUCUAUCAAAUCUCCCCUCAUUCUUCUACGCUCCAGGGAAUAAAGUCCUAACCUAUUCAACCUUUCUCUGUAACUCAGUUUCUCAAAUCCUGGCAACAUCCUUGUAAACCUUCUCUGCACUCAUUAAUAUCCUUCCUGUAAGUAGGUGACCAAAACUGCUCACAAUACUCCAAAUUCGGCCUCACCAAUGCCUUGUACAACCUCACCAUGACAUUCCAACUCAUACUCAAUACUUUGAUUUAUAAAAGCUCUCUUUAUGACCCUAUCUACCUGUGACACCACUUUUAGGGAAUUAUGUAUCUGUAUUCCCAGAUCCCUCUGUUCUACUGUACACCUCGGUGUCCUACCAUUAAUCUUGUAUAUUCUACGUUGGUUUGUCCUUCCAAUGUGCAAUACCUCAUGCUUGUCUGCAUUAAACUCCAUCUGCCAUUUUUCCAGCUGGUCCAAAUCCAUCUGUAAGCUUUGAAAACCUUCCUCACUGUCCACUACACCUCCAAUCUUUGUAUCAUCAGCAAAUUUGCUGAUCCAAUUUACCACAUUAUCAUCCAGAUCAUUGAUAUAGAUGACAAAUAACAAUGGACCCAGCACUGAUCCCUGUGGCACACCACUAGUCACAAGCCUCCACUCAGAGAAGCAAUCCUCCACUACCACUCUCUGGCUUCUCCAACUGAGCCAAUGUCUAAUCCAAUUCACUACCUGCCCAUGUAUACCUAGCGACUGAAUCUUCCUAACUAACCUCCCAUGUGGGACUUUGUCUAUGUAGACAACAUCCGCUGCCUUCCCUUCAUCCACUUUCCUGGUAACCUUCUCGAAAAUCUCUAAUAGAUUGGUUAAACAUGACCUACCAUGCACAAACUCCGUAUGCAGUAUGUGGGAGGUCAGGGUCAACACAGUUGUCCCUGAUGACCACACCUGCAAAAGCAGCAUCCAGCUGCAGCUCCUAUCAGACCGAAUUAGGGAAUUGGAGCAGGAGCUGGAUGAACUACGGAUCAUUCAGGAGGCAGAGGCAGAGAUAGAUAAAAGUUAUCGGGAGGUAGUCGCACCGAAAAGUCAGGAGGUAGGCAAAUGGGUGACAGUCAAGAGAGACAGAGGGAGCAGACAGAGACAGCAGAGCACCUCUGUGGCCGUUCCCAUCAACAGUAAGUAUACCGUUUUGGAUACUGUUGGUGGGGAUGACCUACCAGGAAUAAGUUGCAGUGGUCCUGUCUCUGGCACUGAGGUUGGACCCUCGACUAGGAAGGGGAGGAGGGAAGAGAAGAGAGCGGUAGUGAUAGGGAUUCUAUAGUCGGGGGGCGGAUAGGAGAUUUUGUGGGGAACAUCGGGAGUCUCGGAUGGUAUGUUGCCUCCCUGGUGCCGGGGUCCGGGACAUCUCAGAUCGGGUGCAGGUUAUUCUCGAGAGGGAGGGCAAGAACCCAGAUGUUGUGGUCCAUGUAGGGACCAAUGACGUGGGUAGGAUGAGUGAGGGGAUCCUGCGUAGUGAGUUCAGGGAGUUAGGUGCGAAACUGAAGGGUAGGACCUCCAGGGCAACAAUCUCAGGAUUGCUACCUGUGCCACGUGCGAGUGAGGCAAGGAACAGAAGGAUUGUACAGAUUAAUACGUGGCUGAGAGGAUGGUGCAGGAGGGAAGGCUUCAGGUUUUUAGAUAAUUGGGCUUUGUUCCAGGGAAGGUGGGAUCUGUUCCGAGUGGACGGUUUACACCUGAACUGGAGCGGUACUAACAUUCUUGCAGGAAAGUUUGCUAGUGCUUCUCGGGGGGGGGGGGUUAAACUAAAUUUGCAGGGGGCAGGGAUCCAGAAUGCGAGAGAGGAUAGCGAAAUGAAGAAUAAAGGACAGGUGGGGACUACACGGUUCUGGAAUAUUAAGUGUGUAGUAGAGAAAGGAGAGGCGGAACAAGCGAUAAGGAGGACGCAUGUACAGAGGGAUGGUCUGACGGAACAUGGAAUAAAGGUACUGAAAGAAUAAGUAAAUUUAGAAAGGACAACAAAAUUCAAGGGGCGUAUAGCCCGAUGGGAGUUCGGGGAGCUGGAUUAAGCACAAUAGGCAGCGAUUUAAACAGAGAGAGGAGAAAUUGGCUAAAAAUUCUAUAUCUGAAUGCACGAAGUGUCAGAAAUAAGGCGGAUGAGCUUGAAACUCAGGUGCGAAUGGGUAACUAUGAUGUUGUUGGGAUAACGGAGACAUGGCUGCAGGGAGGUCAGACCUGGGAAAUGAAUGUACAAGCGUAUACAUGCUAUCGUAGGGACAAAAAUGUGGGCAGAGGGGGUGGGGUGGCCCUGUUGGUGAGGAAUGAGAUUCAGUCCUUUGCAAGGGGGGACAUAGGAUCAAGAGAAGUAGAGUCUGUGUGGAUAGAACUGAGACCCUAAUGGGUGUUUUCUACAGGCCACCAAACAGUAGCAUGGAUAUUGGGUGCAAGUUGAAUAGGGAGUUAACAUUGGCAUGUGGCAAAGGUAAUGUCGCAGUAGUUAUGGGGGAUUUCAACAUGCAGGUGAACUGGGAGUAUCAGGUUGGUGCUGGACCCCAGGAUAGGGAGUUUGUAGAGUGCCUACGGGACGCAUUCUUGGAACAGCUUGUACGAGAGCCGACCAGGGACAAGACUAUUCUGGAUUUAGUCUUGUGUAAUGAACAGGAUUUGAUAAGCGAUCUUGAAGUAAAGGAGCCAUUAGGAGGUAGUGACCAUAAUAUGAUAAGUUUUUAUCUGCAAGUUAAGAAGGAUAAGGGCAGAUUGGAGGUGUCAGUGUUGCAGUUGAAUUGGGGAAACUAUGGAGCCAUGAGGGAGGAGCUGGCCAAAGUUAACUGGAUGGAUAUCCUAGCAGAAAAGACAGUGGAACAGCAAUGGCAGGUAUUCUUGGGAAUAAUGCACAAGGUGCAAAAUCAGUUCAUCCCCCGGAGAAGGAAGGAUUCAAAGGGGGGAAAGGGGCCACAGUAGUUGACAAAGGAAGUCAGAGAUUGCAUAGCAUUAAAUAAAAAGGAAAUAUGACAGAGCUAAGGUGAGUGGGAGGACAGAUAAUUGGGAAAUUUUUAAGGAACAACAGAAGUUAACUAAAAAGGCAAUACGGGGAGAAAAAAUGAGGUACGAAUGCAGACUAGCCAGGAAUAUAAAGGAGGAUAGCAAAAACUUUUUUAGGUAUGUGAAGAGAAAGAAGAUAGUUAAGAACAAUGAUGGGCCCUUGAAGAAUGAAUUGGGUGAAAUUGUUAUGGGAAACAGAGAAAUGGCAGAAGAAUUUAAUAAGUACUUUAGAUCUGUCCUCACUAGGGAAGACACAAGCAAUCUCCCAGAUGUAUGGAUGGGCCAAGGACAUAGGGUAACAGAGGAAAUGAAACAGAUUGACAUUAGGAAGGAAACGGCGAUGAGUAGACUGAUGGGACUGAAGGCUGACAAAUCCCCAGAUCCAGAUGGUCUGCAUCCUAGGGUACUAAAGGAGGUGGCCCUGGAAAUUGCGGAUGCAUUGGUAAUCAUUUUCCAAUGUUCCUUAGAUUCAGGAUCAGUUCCUGAGGAUUGGAGAAUGACUGAUGUUAUCCCACUUUUUAAGAAAGGAGGGAGGGAGAAAACAGAGAACUAUCAUCCUGUCAGCCUAACAUCAGUAGUGGGGAAGAUGCUGGAUUCCAUUAUUAAAGAUGAAAUAGUGGUAUAUCUAGAUAGCAGUGAUAGGAUUGGGCCGAGCCAACAUGGAUUUACCAAGGGCAAAUCAUGCUUGACUAAUCUAUUGGAGUUUUUCGAGGAUGUAACCAGGAAGUUAGACAAGGGAAAUUCAGUGGAUGUAGUGUACCUCGAUUUUCAGAAGGCAUUUGAUAAGGUCCCACAUAGGAGAUUGGUGGGUAAAAUCAGAGCUCAUGGCAUCGGGGGGAAGACAUUGACAUGGAUAGAAAACUGGUUGGCAGAUAGAAAGCAAAGGGUAGCGGUGAAUGGGUGUUUCUCUGAAUGGCAGGUUGUGACUAGUGGGGUGCCACAGGGCUCGGUAUUGGGACCACAGAUGUUUACGAUUUAUAUCAAUGAUUUAGACGAAGGCAUUGAGAAUAACAUCAGUAAGUUUGCUGAUGAUACUAAGCUGGGUGGCAGUGUGACAUGUGAUGAGGAUGUUAGGAGAAUUCAGGGUGACUUGGAUAGGCUGGGUGAGUGGGCAGAUACUUGGCAGAUGACGUUUAAUGUGAAUAAGUGUGAGGUUAUCCACUUUGGGAGUAAGAACAGGAAGGCAGAUUAUUAUCUGAACGGUGUAGAGUUAGGUAAGGGAGAAAUACAAAGAUAUCUUGUUCAUCAGUCACUGAAGGUGAAUGAGCAAGUGCAGCAGGCAUUGAAGAAGGUUAAUGGAAUGUUGGCCUUUAUUACAAAGGGAAUUGAGUACAAGAGCAAGGAAAUUCUUUUGCAUUUGUACAGGGCCCCGGUGAGACCACACGUGGAGUAUUGUGUACAGUUUUGGUCUCCAGUGUUAAGGAAGGACACCCGGGCUGUAGAGGAAGUGCAGCGUAGAUUCACAGGGUAAAUUCCUGGGAAGACCGGACUGUCUUACGCAGGGAGGUUAGAGAGACUGGGUAUGUACAUGCUGGAAUUAAGGAGAUUGAGAGGGAAUCUGAUUGCAACAUAUAAGAUUAUUAAGGGAUUGUACAAAAUAGAGGCAGGAAAUAUGUUUCAGAUGCUGGGAGAGUCCAGUACCAGAGGGCAUGGUUUAAGAAUAAGGGGUAGGUCAUUUAGGACAGAGUUAAGGAAAAACUUUUUCUCCCAGAGAGUUGUGGGGGUGUGGAAUGCAUUGCCUCAGAAGGCAGUUCUCUGGAUGCUUUCAAGAAGGAGCUGGGUAGGUAUCUUAUGGAUAGGGGAAUCAAGGGAUAUGGGGACAAGACAGGAACCGGGUAUUGAUAGUGGAUGAUCAGCCAUGAUCUCAGAAUGGCGCUGCAGGCUCGAAGGGCCGAAUGGUCUACUUCUGCACCUAUUGUCUAUUGUCAAAGCCAGUUCACUCUCCCUAAUAAAUCCCUGUCUAUCCAAAUACUUGUAGAUCCCAUCUCUUAGUACUCCUUCCGAUAAUUUACCUACUACCAACGUCAAACUUACCGGCCUAUAAUUUCCCAAAUUAUUUUUAGAGCCUGUUUUAAACAACAGAGCAACAUGAGCUAUCCUCUAAUCCUCUGGCACCUCAUGCGUAGAUACCGGCAUUUUAAAUAUAUCUGCCAGGGCCCCUGCAAUUUCAACACUAGUCUGCUUCAAGGUCCGAGGGAAUACCCUUUCAGCUCCUGGGUAUUUAUCUACUCUGAUUUGCCUCAAGACAGCAAGCACUUCCUCCUCUUCAAACCAUAAAGUUUCCAUAACCUUACUACUUGUUUGCCUUAUUUCCAUAGACUCCAUGCCAGUUUCCUUAGUAAAUACAGAUGCAAAAAAACCCAUUUAAGAUUUCCCCCAUUUCUUUUGGUUCCAUAAAUAGCCGACCACUCUGAUCUUGAAGAGGACCAACUUAAUCCCUUACUAUCCUUUUGCUCUUAAUAUACUUGUAGAAGCUCUUUGGAUUAUCCUUCACCUUGACUGUCAAAGCUACCUCAUGUCUUCUUUUAGCCCUCCUGAUUUCUUUCUUAAGUAUUUUUUGCACUUUUUAUACUCCUCAAGCACCUUAUUUUCUCCAUGUUGCCUAUAUAUGUUGUAUAUCUCUCUCUUCUUCUUUAUCAGAGUUCCAAUAUCCCUUGAGAACCAAGGUUCCUUAUUCUUAUUCACUUUGCCUUUAAUCCUGACAGGAAGAUACAAACUCUGCACCAUGAAAAUUUCUUCUUCUUUGAAGACCUCCCACUUACCAAUCACAUCCUUGCCAGAGAACAACCUGUCUCAAUCCAUGCUUUUUAGAUCCUUUCUCAUUUCUUCAAAUUUGGUCUUUUUCCAGUUUAGAGCCUUAACCCGAGGUCCAGAUCUAUCUUUAUCCAUGAUCUAGGCAUAGUCUCAGUAUACUUUUUUCUUGUUUAUUAUUAUUUCUUUUUCUUGGCUCAAGCUGGUAAAACCUGAGGUACGGGCAUAGCCAAGUACACUCACUUCUCAAUUGCUAGGAACUUACAGACUAUUGUUGGAUGUAACAAAACACACUGAUGAAGUUAGAGCAGUGGAUGCAGUGUAUAUGGAUAUUAGUAAGGCAUAUGAUGAGGUUUCCUAUGUGAGGUUCAUUCAGAAAGUAAGGAGGCAUGGGAUGCAAGGAGACCUUGCUUUGUGGAUCCAGAAUUGACUUAACCACAGAAGGCAAAGGGUGGUUGUGGUUGGUUCGUAUUCUGCAUGGAGGGUGGUGAUCAGUGGUGUUCUGCAGGGAUCUGUUCAGGGACCCUUUCUCGUUGUGAGUUUUAUAAAUGAUCUGGAUAAGGAAGAAGAAGGGUGAGUUAGUAAGUUUUCCGAUGAUACAAAAGUUUGGGGGUGUUAUGGGUAGCCUAGAGGGUUGUCAGAAGUUACAGCAGGGCAUUGAUACGAUGUAGAACUGGACUGAGAAGUGGCAGCUAAAUGUGAAAUGGUUCAUUUUGGUAGGUCAAAUUUGAAGACAAAAUAUAAUACUAACAGUAAGACUCUUAGCAGUCUGGAGGAUCAGCGAGAUUUUGGGGUCCAUGUCCACAGAACAGCCAAAGCUGCUGCUAUGUUCUGUGUUCUAUUCUAGUGGCGUGCUAUCGUGGAGUACCUUUAGGAUGAUUACAGUUGUAGAUAUUAAUAUCGGGACAGUAUAUACCCUGUUCAAAGAACAUAGAUAUCAACAGCACGUUACAGGCCCUUCGGCUCACAAUGUUGUGCUGACCAUGUAAACUACUCUAGAAACUUACUAGUUUUUCCCUACCGCAGAGCCCUCUAUUUUUCUAAGCUUCAUGUACUUGUCUAAGAGUCUCUUAAAAGACCCUAUUGUAUCCGCCUCUACCACUGACACUGGCAGUGCAUUGCACGCACCUACCACUCUCUGUGUGAAAAACUUACCUCUGACUUAACCCUUGUACUUAUUUCCAAGCACCUUAAAACUAUAGCCCCUCGUGUUGGCCACUUCAGCCCAGUGAAAAAGCCUCUGGCUAUCCACACGAUCAAUGCCUCAACUGACAUAAUAGUGCCUCUCCCGCCAUCCUAGAUGAUCAAUGCCAGACCAGUGGGAACGCAGCCUGUGAAGCCACAUCAAGUGCACCAUGAAGCUUUAAUUAUCAGUAUUGGUAUUGGUUUAUUAUUGCCAAAUGUAUCAAGAUGCUUGCUUGCAUAUUAUUUAUAAGGAUCAAAUCAUUACACGGAGCAUUGAGCCAGAAUAAAGUAAAUCAAUAACAAUGCAGAAUAAACCAUACACGCUACCAAAACAAUGCAGUACAGGAGCAAGACUAUAACAAGGUAGAGCCAUCUUAUCGUACAAGAGAUCUGCUCAAGAGCCCAUUAACAGUGAGAUAGAAGCAGUCCUUGAGCUGGCAGUACAUGCUUUCAGGUUUGUGUACCUUCUACCUGAUGGGAGGAGUAAAAGAGGGAACAUCUGGCGUGGUUGGCGUCUUUGAUUAUGCUGGCUGCUUUACUGAGGCAGUAGGGAGUAUCGACAGAGUCCAUAUAGGGGAGGGUUUUCGUGAUGUGCUGUGCAGUGUCCACAACUUUAUGAUUUCUUGUGGUCACAUGCAGAGCAGCUGCCAUAUCAGGUCAUCAUGCAAUCAGACAAAAUGCUUUCUACUGUGCAUCGAAAAAUAUGGGGAAAAGCAAUGGAGACAUACCAAAUUUCUUCGGCCUUUCAAGGAAGCAGUGGCAUUGAUGAGCUUCCUUAGCCAUGACAUUAAUGUAAUGGGACCAGGACGGGAUGUUGAUGAUAUUCACGCUUGAGAAACUGAAGCUCCCUGUCCUCUCAUCCUCAACACCAUUGAUGCAGACAGGAGCAUGUGCAUCCCCCACCUCCUGAAGUCAAUGACCAGUUAUUUUGUUUUGCUGGCAUUGAGGUAGUUGUCAUAAUAACCUGUCACUAAACUCUCUGCCUCCUUCCUGUAUUUCAACUCAUCAUUAUUUGAGAUGAGGCCCACUACAGUGGUGUCAACUGCAAACUUGUAGAUGGAGUUAGAGCAGAAUCUGACCUCACAGUCAUGAGGGUAAAGUAGGGGGCUUUUUUGUGGAGUUUCAGUGUUUAGAAUAAUCGUGGCAGAUGUGUUGCUGCCUAUCCUUAGUGAUUGUGGUCUGUUGGUCACAAAGUCAAGGAUCUAGUUCCAGAGGGAAGCAUUAACUCCCAGGGUCUGGUGAUUGGUGAUGUGUUUGCUGGGAAUAAUAGUAUUGAAGGCAGAUUUGCAGUCAGAUUUCAUGCAGGUCGGAGGAUGAUGAAUCAUGUACAUCUACUAAUACUUGCUAAACAGUGUUAGGUGUCUGGUCAUCUGUAAACAGAAACCACUGUUCGGUUCAGAGACUGAAUUUUGACCAUUAAGAAUCUACAUUCAAUACACAUUUUAAAGGGAUUUGGGGUUCUAACAUGUAACUGUCAUUCAUUCUUUGGGGCACUCCUCUGUUUUCGUGGAUGUUUGUGAAGAAAAAGUAUUUCAGGAUGUAUGCUGUAUACAUUUCUCUGACACUAAAUGUACCUAUUGAAACAUGGGGUGAUGCAGAAGCAGCAAAUAGAAAACUUGCUCUGCAUUAUGAUUUCUCAGCUUGGUUAACAUGUUCCACAGUCUUUCAGUUUCCUCUUUUAAUUCAGCAUAUUUCUGGUGUUUUUCAAUGAUUGAUUUCUGUAUAUCAUGUAUGCUUGGAAUGGAAUCUCUAUUUAGAAAGUCACUCUUGCUUGUUAAUCCUGAAUUAUUAUAUCUGUGUGGUUAUAAUGGAUUGUCCUGUCUGUAAUAACAGAUGGGUCACAAUUAAAUUUGUCAGACCCUAACUCUAAAACUGGAUCAAGUUUCUAUUUUUAGUAAGGUCUGGUCUCUUUUGCGAGUUUGUAUUUUAAAACAAGAUUUUGGUAAAUGAUGAUUGCCACUUGAUUGUUCCUGUGAAAGUAACCAGAUUGAGUUAAACUGCUCAUACCGUGGGGAUGUCUUCUACGGAUGGUCAUACUCUUCCAUUGGUUAACUUUUUCUUCAAUAGUGAUAAUUUCUUCAUCUUCUGGGUUGUGCUCUCAUUUUAGUUUAGUGGUGUGUACUUCUUACCAGAGUUGCAAAUUCUCGCGUGGAGUGCUGAAUCCUGAUUUGUUCGUGAAAACUUAUCUUAAAAUUUAUCCUAUCUAACGGUUGUGUAGAUUUUUAAUGUCUAUUGUGUUAUUAUUAUUAUUAUCAUGAUCAUCAUUGUUAUUGUAGUAUUUGCACAGUUUGUCUUUUGCAUAAUUAGCAUACAAGAGGGAGAUUGAAAACUUGGCCGAGUGGUGUAAUAACAACAACCUUUCACUCAUUGUCAAUAAGAAUAAGGAACUGAUUGUAGAUUUCAGGAGAGGGAACCCAAAGGUCCAUGAGCCAGUCCUCAUCCGAGGAUCAGAGGUGGACAGGGUCAGCAACUUUAAAUUACUAUUACCGUUACUAUUUCAGAGGACCUGUCCUGGAUCUAGCACAUGAGUGCAAUUGUGAAGAAAGCAUGGUAGCGCUUGUACUUCCGUAGGAGUUUGUGAAGAAUCGGCAUGACAUCUAAAACUUCAACAAACUCCUUUAGAUGUGUAGUGGAGAGUGUAUUGACUGGCUGCAUCAUGACCUGAUAUGGAAAUACAUAUGCUUUUGAACAGAAAUCCUAGAAAAGGUAAUGGAUUCAGCCUAGUAUAUCACCGGUAAAGCCUUCCCAACUAUUAAGCACAUCACCAUGAAACACUAUCGUAGGAAAGCAGCAUCCAUCAUCAGAAAUCGCUACCGCCCAGGUCAUGCUUUUUUCUCACUGUUGCCACCAGGUAGAAGGUGCAAGAGCCUCAGGACUAGCACCGCCAGGUUAAAAAAAAGUUACUAUCCCUCAACCUUCAGGCUCGUAAACAAAUGGGAAUAACUUCACCCAACUUCACUUGCCCGAGUCAUCAAAAUUUUCGCGCAACUACUUCAACAGAACUCCACUCACUUGCCUAUCCAUUGAGAUGUUCCAACCAAUAAUCUCACUUUCAAGACUCUUUAUCUCAUUAUCUCAUGUUUUUGUUAUUUAUUGCUAUUUAUUUAUAUUUGCAUUUGCACAGUUUGUUUACUCCUGCACUCUGGCUGGCUUUUCAUUGAUCCUGUUAUAGUUUCUAUGCCACAGAUUUGCUGAGUAUGUCCGCAGGAAAACGAGUCUUGGGAUUGUAUAUGAUGAUAUAUGUAUACUUCCGAUAAUAAAAUUGACUUUGAACUUUA